UCCAGCCUGCCCAAAUCCCUCUUCAGAGCCUUCCUGUUCUCCAGAAGACCAACACUCCCAUCUAACUUGGUAUCACCUGCAAACAUAUUAAGGGUGUACUUGAUCCCUCAUCCAGGUCACCUAUGAAGAUAUAAACGAGGCAGGCCUAAAUACUGAGCCCUGGAGAACACCACUUGAGAUAAGCCACCAACAGGAAUUAACUCCAUUUAUCAUUUAAAAAGCUACCUAAUGGAAGGGUUUAGAGAAGAAAUAUGUGGGACCUUCUCAGAAGCAUGCAGAAGGAAAGAGGGUGAUGCAGAAAGGAAAACCUUUUCACUGGGAAGGUAGACAAACACCGGAAAAGGGAGUAGAUGUAUGUAAUAAGAAAGACACGUACAAAAAUUCUUCAUAAGGCUGGAUGGGUAAAGGUAAUAUACAACGUGGCAGAGGCAGCACCUCUGCUGAGGAUCCCAGAAAUGGAGGCGAAGCCAAUUCUGGAACGCGUUUGCCGCAUGUCAAAGGUGAUGAAUGGGAGAUGAUUUAUUAAGUCACCUGGGCUGUUCACUUCUGUGCCAGGGUUUGUUCCAACAGUGUUUCUGUGUGUUUAAUGGAUUAAUGCAGUUCAAUGAAGUUUAUUCAUGAAAGAGAA